ACGAACGCUGGCGGCAGGCCUAACACAUGCAAGUCGAACGCCCCGCAAGGGGAGUGGCAGACGGGUGAGUAACGCGUGGGAAUCUGCCCAAUGGUACGGAACAACCAAGGGAAACUUUGGCUAAUACCGUAUGUGCCCGUAAGGGGAAAGAUUUAUCGCCAUUGGAUGAGCCCGCGUUGGAUUAGCUAGUUGGUGGGGUAACGGCCUACCAAGGCGACGAUCCAUAGCUGGUCUGAGAGGAUGAUCAGCCACACUGGGACUGAGACACGGCCCAGACUCCUACGGGAGGCAGCAGUGGGGAAUAUUGGACAAUGGGCGCAAGCCUGAUCCAGCCAUGCCGCGUGAGUGAUGAAGGCCUUAGGGUUGUAAAGCUCUUUCAGCGGGGAAGAUAAUGACGGUACCCGCAGAAGAAGCCCCGGCUAACUUCGU
rnacentral:rRNA from 1 species